rnacentral:rRNA from 1 species
UACGUAGGGUGCGAGCGUUGUCCGGAAUUAUUGGGCGUAAAGAGCUUGUAGGUGGUUUGUCGCGUCUGCUGUGAAAAUCCGAGGCUCAACCUCGGACUUGCAGUGGGUACGGGCAGACUAGAGUGUGGUAGGGGGAGACUGGAAUUCCUGGUGUAGCGGUGAAAUGCGCAGAUAUCAGGAGGAACACCGGUGGCGAAGGCGGGUCUCUGGGCCGAUACUGACGCUGGAGGAGCGAAAAGCGUGGGGAGCGAACAGG